CAGUCGCCGCGGGAAUACGGAGGGUGCAAGCGUUAAUCGGAAUUACUGGGCGUAAAGCGCACGCAGGCGGUUUGUUAAGUCAGAUGUGAAAUCCCCGAGCUUAACUUGGGAACUGCAUUUGAAACUGGCAAGCUAGAGUCUUGUAGAGGGGGGUAGAAUUCCAGGUGUAGCGGUGAAAUGCGUAGAGGUCUGGAGGAACACCGGUGGCGAAGGCGGCCCCCUGGACAAAGACUGACGCUCAGGUGCGAAAGCGUGGGGAGCAAACAGGAUUAGAGACCCCUGUAGUCCCUGUCUCUUAUAC
rnacentral:rRNA from 1 species